UUUUUUGUUUUUGUUUUUUUUGGUAUGUGCAAUGCUGAUUGCAUGAUUCUUGUUCUUUUACACAAACGGGUUCAUGGCCUUCCCUUUCCCUGUUCAGUGAUUGUAAACUGUCCUAGGCUGGGAAGGAGCACAGUAGUGAUGGGGGGGUGACAGCAGAGGUGUGCUGGCUGGUGGUGCAGCCAGGAUCAAGCCUUGGACACCUGGGCAGGCCACAGAGCUUGACUGAAAUGUCUAAGAGCCAGGUGGGUCCUGGGCAUACAGCCCCCCAAAUGCCUGGUUUACUAGUUAGGACUUUAUUCUGUAAGCCUCAUAUAUGCACAACUAGCACAUAGACAGCAGCUAAUAAAUGUCACGUACACCUGAAUGGGAAGAUGCUGAUGGCUCUUCAUUUGUGUAUUUAUCUAUUGAGAGAUAGGACCUCACUCUGUUACCCAGGCUGGAGUGUAGUGGUGAGAUCACAGCCCACUCCAGCCUCGACCUCCCAAACUCAAGCUAUCCUCCCCAUCAGCCUCCCAAGUAGCCGGGACCACAGGAAGGCACCACCACAUCCAGUUAAUUUUAAUUUUAAUUUUUUUUGUAGAGAUAAGGUCUCAUUAUGUUGCCCAGGUUGGUCUUGAACUCCUGGACUCAAGCAAUGCUCCUUCCUUGGCCUCUCAAAGUGCUGGGAUUUAUAGGAGUGAACCACCAUGUCCAGCCACUGAUGGCUGUUGAUUAGGAGAAUGAUGUCAUUGCAAUUGUGCACUAGGACCAUUAUUCAGGCCAUGAAACAAGGUAGAUGACGGAGGGCACUUAGAGGUUUCUACAACAUUCGAGAGUGAAGGAAUCUGAAUGCAGACGGGUACAGGGAGAGGUAGAAGAAAGAACGUGGAUGAGUGAAACAUACACAUUCUCCAGGAAGGUGUAAAAACACUGGAACCCCAAAACCAAGAGACCAGUGCAAGCUUUGGGUUGUAAGGGCAGAAAAUAAAAUUGAACUGCUUCCUAUCUGCUUUUUAGAUUAUCUUUGAGACCAGUUUCAGGUAAGAGAAACUUAUGUUACCAGCCUAAGACAAAUUUGCAAUAUAUUUUAUUAAAUGUUCAUGUUUUCACUACCUUUAUACAGAGUGAGUAUCUAUUUGACCACAUCUUGGCUCAGAAUUCUCUUUUUCCUCCUCCCUAAAGUGGAGGUCAGAAGUGGCAGGUGACCCAGACACACUGAGGCUGGACGUCAUGAGAGGUGGAUGGAAGAGGACACUGGAACUGUAGCCCUGGAAUAGUCACAUGGGCGGGCAUCCCCCAUGUGCUUGGGUUGCCAGAACAAGGAGUCUUGAUUCAGACCCCAAGAGAGAGCUCUUGGAUCUUGUGCAGGAAGGAAUUCAAGGUGAGUCACAGAGCACAGUGAGAAGAGAUAGUUUUCUUGAAAACUGCUCAGUUACAGAGUGGGGCAACCUCACAAAGCAAGAGGGGGAAUGCCUUGUGUUUUAAGAUUUUCUCAUAUCAGGGUCUUAUCUAUGUGAAAGCUAAGCUAAGCUAUGUCUAUGUGCGGGUGGGCGGACAGCGUGACAAAAUUUAUUAUUCUGCUGAUUUAAAGAAAACUAUCCCUGGUAUGUUAGCGCAUAAGCACAUCAAAGCAUAACUAUAAUUAUCUUGAUAGCAUAUAUCGUUAUGGAUAUUGGGAC
ensembl:lncRNA